rnacentral:rRNA from 1 species
GACGAACGCUGGCGGCGUGCCUAAUACAUGCAAGUUGAGCGCUGAAGGUUGGUACUUGUACCAACUGGAUGAGCAGCGAACGGGUGAGUACCGCGUGGGGAAUCUGCCUUUGAGCGGGGGACAACAUUUGGAAACGAAUGCUAAUACCGCAUAAAAACUUUAAACACAAGUUUUAAGUUUGAAAGAUGCAAUUGCAUCACUCAAAGAUGAUCCCGCGUUGUAUUAGCUAGUUGGUGAGGUAAAGGCUCACCAAGGCGAUGAUACAUAGCCGACCUGAGAGGGUGAUCAGCCACAUUGGGAAUGAGACACGGCCCAAUCUCCUACGGGAGGCAGCAGUAGGGAUUCUUCGGGAAUGGACGAAAGUCUGACCAAGCAACGCCGCGUGAGUGAAGAAGGUUUUCGGAUCGUAAAACUCUGUUGGUAGAGAAGAACGUUGGUGAGAGUGGAAAGCUCAUCAAGUGACGGUAACUACCCAGAAAGGGACGGCUAACUACGUG